rnacentral:rRNA from 1 species
UAAUACGUAGGGUGCAAGCGUUGUCCGGAAUUAUUGGGCGUAAAGAGCUCGUAGGCGGUUUGUCACGUCGGAUGUGAAAUCCCGGGGCUUAACCUCGGGUCUGCAUUCGAUACGGGCUGACUAGAGUUCGGUAGGGGAGACUGGAAUUCCUGGUGUAGCGGUGAAAUGCGCAGAUAUCAGGAGGAACACCGGUGGCGAAGGCGGGUCUCUGGGCCGAUACUGACGCUGAGGAGCGAAAGCGUGGGGAGCGAACAGGAUUAGAUACCCUGGUAGUCCACGCCGUAAACGUUGGGCGCUAGGUGUGGGUUCCCUUCCACGGGAUCCGUGCCGCAGCUAACGCAUUAAGCGCCCCGCCUGGGGAGUACGGCCGCAAGGCUA